rnacentral:misc_RNA from 1 species
UGGGUUGGUUGGAUCCCUGCUCGUGCAGCGACAGCCGCUCUUUCAUUCCUUUUCAUUCUUGCUCCAAGAGCAGUAAGCCUUGGACCAACUCGGUUACCUGUGUUGCAUACCUACGUUGAUGGAAUUCGCUCGUCCAAUAGCCCCUAAUUCACCUUGUGCUGCUCGCGCGGUGCGGGAUGAACCAUGAAGUGUCCUUUGCUGUCCGUUAUUGCCUCGCGUUCGCGCGUGCCAUGAAACGGCCAGUGCUGCGGCACUCGAAUUCUCGGAUACAGAACCUUGAGCGGGCAAAGGGUCUUUGGCCUUGAUUUGCCCAAACUAAGCGUUCUCGCUUCUUACGAACGACUGUCGUGCCCGUUUUGACCUGAGGAUACUUUCGGUCCGACCGGCUCAUGCGGUGCCGACGUCGAAG